rnacentral:rRNA from 1 species
UACGUAGGGAGCGAGCGUUGUCCGGAUUCAUUGGGCGUAAAGAGCUCGUAGGCGGCUUGGUAAGUCGGAUGUGAAACCUCCAGGCUCAACCUGGAGUCGCCAUCCGAUACUGCCAUGGCUAGAGUCCGGUAGGGGCCCACGGAAUUCCUGGUGUAGCGGUGAAAUGCGCAGAUAUCAGGAGGAACACCGGUGGCGAAGGCGGGUCUCUGGGCCGAAACUGACGCUGAGGAGCGAAAGCAUGGGGAGCAAACAGG